CAAACAGCAGUGAACCCCAAGAAGUAUCAGAUGACAUAAAUGAUGCCACACAGUCUCUCUCCAGUGGUGAUCAAAUCAUCUAGUGUGCAGCCACCCAAGCUGUUCUUACAGAUGCACCUAGCAUCUCAAAAGACAACAAUGCAAUGUCUAGUUGUGCUGCUGUCAUCACCAUCAAUGUAACCAGUGACCAUUCCCCUCCCAUCUCUGGUGCUUACAGGAACCCCUUACAGUACUUAUCUGGACCUAUUUGAGGAAGAAUAUUUCUCUGAUGAUCCUGAUCUCCAAGAAGCCAUUUCAAGAUCUUUGACUGCUAGAAC